CCUACGGGAGGCAGCAGUGAGGAAUAUUGGUCAAUGGACGAGAGUCUGAACCAGCCAAGUAGCGUGAAGGAUGACUGCCCUAUGGGUUGUAAACUUCUUUUAUAUGGGAAUAAACUGUUUCACGUGUGGGAUUUUGUAUGUACCAUAUGAAUAAGGACCGGCUAAUUCCGUGCCAGCAGCCGCGGUAAUACGGAGGAUCCGAGCGUUAUCCGGAUUUAUUGGGUUUAAAGGGAGCGUAGGUGGAUUGUUAAGCCGGUUGUGAAAGUUUGCGGCUCAACCGUAAAAUUGCAGUUGAAACUGGCAGUCUUGAGUACAGUAGAGGUGGGCGGAAUUCGUGGUGUAGCGGUGAAAUGCUUAGAUAUCACGAAGAACUCCGAUUGCGAAGGCAGUUCACUGGACUGCAACUGACACUGAGGCUCGAAAGUGUGGGUAUCAAACAGGAUUAGAUACCCUUGUAGUC
rnacentral:rRNA from 1 species